rnacentral:tRNA from 1 species
GGGAUUAGCUCAGUUGGUAGAGUGCUUGCCUUGCAUGCACAAGGCCCUGGGUUCAAUCCCCAGCAACACA